AGCAGUCGCCGCGGGAAUACGUAGGUGGCAAGCGUUGUCCGGAAUUAUUGGGCGUAAAGGGCUCGCAGGCGGUUUCUUAAGUCUGAUGUGAAAGCCCCCGGCUCAACCGGGGAGGGUCAUUGGAAACUGGGAAACUUGAGUGCAGAAGAGGAGAGUGGAAUUCCACGUGUAGCGGUGAAAUGCGUAGAGAUGUGGAGGAACACCAGUGGCGAAGGCGACUCUCUGGUCUGUAACUGACGCUGAGGAGCGAAAGCGUGGGGAGCGAACAGGAUUAGAUACCCCGGUAGUCCCUGUCUCUUAUAC
rnacentral:rRNA from 1 species